rnacentral:rRNA from 1 species
UGGGGAAUAUUGCACAAUGGGCGCAAGCCUGAUGCAGCCAUGCCGCGUGUGUGAAGAAGGCCUUCGGGUUGUAAAGCACUUUCAGCGGGGAGGAAGGCGGUGAGGUUAAUAACCUCACCGAUUGACGUUACCCGCAGAAGAAGCACCGGCUAACUCCGUGCCAGCAGCCGCGGUAAUACGGAGGGUGCAAGCGUUAAUCGGAAUUACUGGGCGUAAAGCGCACGCAGGCGGUCUGUCAAGUCGGAUGUGAAAUCCCCGGGCUCAACCUGGGAACUGCAUCUGAUACUGGCAAGCUUGAGUCUCGUAGAGGGGGGUAGAAUUCCAGGUGUAGCGGUGAAAUGCGUAGAGAUCUGGAGGAAUACCGGUGGCGAAGGCGGCCCCCUGGACGAAGACUGACGCUCAGGUGCGAAAGCGUGGGGAGCAAACAGG